AGGGAAUCUUCCGCAAUGGACGAAAGUCUGACGGAGCAACGCCGCGUGAGUGAAGAAGGCCUUCGGGUCGUAAAACUCUGUUGCCGGGGAAGAACAAGUGCCGUUCGAACAGGGCGGCACCUUGACGGUACCCGGCCAGAAAGCCACGGCUAACUACGUGCCAGCAGCCGCGGUAAUACGUAGGUGGCAAGCGUUGUCCGGAAUUAUUGGGCGUAAAGCGCGCGCAGGCGGCUUCUUAAGUCGGAUGUGAAAUCUUGCGGCUCAACCGCAAGCGAUCAUUGGAAACUGGGAGGCUUGAGUGCAGAAGAGGAGAGUGGAAUUCCACGUGUAGCGGUGAAAUGCGUAGAGAUGUGGAGGAACACCAGUGGCGAAGGCGGCUCUCUGGUCUGUAACUGACGCUGAGGCGCGAAAGCGUGGGGAGCAAAC
rnacentral:rRNA from 1 species